AGUGAACGCUGGCGGUAGGCCUAACACAUGCAAGUCGAACGGCAGCACAGUAAGAGCUUGCUCUUACGGGUGGCGAGUGGCGGACGGGUGAGGAAUACAUCGGAAUCUACUUUUUCGUGGGGGAUAACGUAGGGAAACUUACGCUAAUACCGCAUACGACCUACGGGUGAAAGCAGGGGAUCUUCGGACCUUGCGCGAUUGAAUGAGCCGAUGUCGGAUUAGCUAGUUGGCGGGGUAAAGGCCCACCAAGGCGACGAUCCGUAGCUGGUCUGAGAGGAUGAUCAGCCACAGUGGAACUGAGACACGGUCCAGACUCCUACGGGAGGCAGCAGUGGGGAAUAUUGGACAAUGGGCGGAAGCCUGAUCCAGCCAUGCCGCGUGGGUGAAGAAGGCCUUCGGGUUGUAAAGCCCUUUUGUUGGGAAAGAAAAGCAGCAGGUUAAUACCCCGCUGUUCUGACGGUACCCAAAGAAUAAGCACCGGCUAACUUCGUG
rnacentral:rRNA from 1 species